AAACUUUCAACAACGGAUCUCUUGGUUCUCGCAUCGAUGAAGAACGCAGCGAAAUGCGAUACGUAUUGUGAAUUGCAGAUUUUCGUGAAUCAUCGAAUCUUUGAACGCACAUUGCGCCCUUUGGUAUUCCAAAGGGCAUGCCUGUUUGAGCGUCAUUU
rnacentral:rRNA from 1 species